rnacentral:rRNA from 1 species
UAGGGAAUCUUCCGCAAUGGGCGCAAGCCUGACGGAGCAACGCCGCGUGAGUGAUGAAGGUCUUCGGAUCGUAAAACUCUGUUAUUAGGGAAGAACAAACGUGUAAGUAACUGUGCACGUCUUGACGGUACCUAAUUAGAAAGCCACGGCUAACUACGUGCCAGCAGCCGAGGUAAUACGUAGGUGGCAAGCGUUAUCCGGAAUUAUUGGGCGUAAAGCGCGCGUAGGCGGUUUUUUAAGUCUGAUGUGAAAGCCCACGGCUCAACCGUGGAGGGUCAUUGGAAACUGGAAAACUUGAGUGCAGAAGAGGAAAGUGGAAUUCCAUGUGUAGCGGUGAAAUGCGCAGAGAUAUGGAGGAACACCAGUGGCGAAGGCGACUUUCUGGUCUGUAACUGACGCUGAUGUGCGAAAGCGUGGGGAUCAAACA